rnacentral:sRNA from 1 species
AUCGUCGGCCUGUUGCGGACAGAUAAAGUGGAUGUGGCUGUCAAACCCGCCGGCGGUCAGGAUCUUGCCCUCGCCCGCGAUGGCCUCGGUGCCCGGGCCCACGAUGAUGUUCACGCCGGGCUGCGUGUCGGGGUUGCCCGCCUUGCCAAUGGCCGCGAUGCGCCCGUCGCGCAGCCCCACGUCGGCCUUGUAGAUGCCGGUAUGGUCGAUGAUCAGCGCGUUGGUGAUGACGGUGUCCACCGCCCCACCCGUGCGCGUCACUUGCGACUGCCCCAUGCCAUCGCGGAU